rnacentral:rRNA from 1 species
CUGCAGCCCGAGUGGUGAUCCUUUUUAUUGGGCCUAAAGCGUCCGUAGCCUGUUUAGUAAAUCCUUGGGUAAAUCGUACCGCUUAACGGUACGACUUCUGGGGAGACUGCUAGACUUGGGACUGGGAGAGGUCGGAGGUACUCCAGGGGUAGGGGUGAAAUCCUGUAAUCCUUGGGGGACCACCAGUGGCGAAGGCGUCCGACUAGAACGGAUCCGACGGUGAGGGACGAAGCCGUGGGGCACAAACCGGAUUAGAGACCCGAGUAGUCC